UACGUAGGGGGCAAGCGUUGUCCGGAUUUAUUAGGCGUAAAGAGCGUGUAGGCGGUCAGGUAGGUCCGUUGUGAAAACUCGAGGCUCAACCUCGAGACGCCGAUGGAAACCAUCUGACUAGAGUCCGGAAGAGGAGAGUGGAAUUCCUGGUGUAGCGGUGAAAUGCGCAGAUAUCAGGAAGAACACCCGUGGCUAAGGCGGCUCUCUAGUACGGUACUGACGCUGAGACGCGAAAGCGUGGGGAGCGAACAGG
rnacentral:rRNA from 1 species